UACAGAGGGGGCAAGCGUUGUUCGGAAUUACUGGGCGUAAAGGGCGCGUAGGCGGCCUUCUAAGUCGAACGUGAAAUCCCCGGGCUCAACCCGGGAACUGCGUCCGAUACUGGAAGGCUUGAAUCCGGGAGAGGGAUGCGGAAUUCCAGGUGUAGCGGUGAAAUGCGUAGAUAUCUGGAGGAACACCGGUGGCGAAGGCGGCAUCCUGGACCGGCAUUGACGCUGAGGCGCGAAAGCCAGAGGAGCAAACGGG
rnacentral:rRNA from 1 species